rnacentral:rRNA from 1 species
GUUUGAUCCUGGCUCAGAUUGAACGCUGGCGGCAUGCCUUACACAUGCAAGUCGAACGGCAGCACGGACUUCGGUCUGGUGGCGAGUGGCGAACGGGUGAGUAAUGUAUCGGAACGUACCUUUCAGUGGGGGAUAACGUAGCGAAAGUUACGCUAAUACCGCAUAUUCUGUGAGCAGGAAAGCAGGGGAUCGCAAGACCUUGCGCUGAUUGAGCGGCCGAUAUCAGAUUAGCUAGUUGGUGGGGUAAAGGCCUACCAAGGCGACGAUCUGUAGCGGGUCUGAGAGGAUGAUCCGCCACACUGGAACUGAGACACGGUCCAGACUCCUACGGGAGGCAGCAGUGGGGAUUUUGGACAAGUGGGGGCAACCCGUGAUCCAGCCAUGCCGCGUGAGUGAAGAAGGCC